GACGAACGCUGGCGGCGUGCUUAACACAUGCAAGUCGAACGGAAAGGCCCUGCUUUUGUGGGGUGCUCGAGUGGCGAACGGGUGAGUAACACGUGAGUAACCUGCCCUUGACUUUGGGAUAACUUCAGGAAACUGGGGCUAAUACCGGAUCGGAGCUCCUGCUGCAUGGUGGGGGUUGGAAAGUUUCGGCGGUUGGGGUUGGACUCGCGGCUUAUCAGCUUGUUGGUGGGGUAGUGGCUUACCAAGGCUUUGACGGGUAGCCGGCCUGAGAGGGUGACCGGCCACAAUGGGACUGAGAUACGGCCCAGACUCCUACGGGAGGCAGCAGUGGGGAAUAUUGCACAAUGGGCGGAAGCCUGAUGCAGCAACGCCGCGUGCGGGAUGACGGCCUUCGGGUUGUCAACCGCUUUCGCCUGUGACGAAGCGUGAGUGACGGUAAUGGGUAAAGAAGCACCGGCUAACUACGUG
rnacentral:rRNA from 1 species